rnacentral:lncRNA from 1 species
UAAAUAUUAUCGGAAUAGCUGUCGAACAAUAGCCUACUUACAUUUCAGGCGGUGGCAAAGGAAAUAAAAAAGCGCCCGAGGUAAUGGAGCCCCCAUCAGCGCUCCGUUUGAUUUACCGUCUUUAAAAAGUAGACUCAGCCCUUGGUUCGGUAUUCAAACAUCACCACAAGCAAAACAACUUCAAGUAACAUUUGCAGACCUUGUAGAAAUACCUUAUCGCGACGGAAUCGGAAGUUCCCAUACGCAUGAUCCGCGACUUUUCGUGUUUUCAAGCGCGCCCAGCCGUCCUCGCUUUCUCUCUUCUCGGGAGGGGAAAUAAUAGUAAUGGUAAUAAAUAACUCGGAGAUGAAUUUCUCCUCCGAACGGUAAUCCAAGCUUGGAAGUAAUCACAGUAACACUUGAAGGGCUCUCAACUCGGUAGCCACAUCCGUCCGUCCAUCCUCCCAUCCACCCAUCGCCGCUUCGGUGGUCGUUACGCAGCGCGGAGCGGAGCGGAGAUGCGCGCAGGAAGGGCUCGACGCUCCGGGGAUGAGCCGACUCUGGGGUGGGGGGGUGGUGGUGGGGGAGAAAUAAAAAACCAACAACUUCGUCCUGCACCCGGGAGUCCUGGCAGGUCACGUGAUGCGCGCUUAUAGGGACGGAUCAUAUACAGAGGGAGACGCGCUCACGCACGUGGCGGCGGAGAGGCCAGAAAGAACCAAGUGCAAAGAAACCCGGCGGAACGGUUCCGACUCGGUGCAACUUCUGCUCCCAGCGGACGCUCCGAACAACGCAGACCUGAGCGAGGAGUCAGCGGAGAGAGGAACGGCGCCUUCAGGCUGAUGAAACUGGCAAGAUAAGAAAACUGUGAGCAGCGGGCUGAGCGAUUGCUUUCUGUCACCUGUCCUCCUUCCCCCACCCCACCUGUCCUCAUCGGCCCCUCCCGC